rnacentral:rRNA from 1 species
CAAGAGCGUAUGUAAAAGUUGUUGCAGUUAAAAAGCUCGUAGUUGAACCUUGGGUUUGGUUGGCCGGUCCGCUUUUUUGCGAGUACUGGAUUCAACCGAGCCUUUCCUUCUGGCUAACCAGUCGUUUCGGCGGCUGGCGAACCAGGAUUUUUACUUUGAGAAAAUUAGAGUGUUCAAAGCAGGCAUUAGCUUGAAUAUAUUAGCAUGGAAUAAUAGAAUAGGACGUUAUGGUUCUAUUUUGUUGGUUUCUAGGACCAUCGUAAUGAUUAAUAGGGACGGUCGGGGGCAUCAGUAUUCAGUUGUCAGAGGUGAAAUUCUUGGAUUUACUGAAGACUAACUACUGCGAAAGCAUUUGCCAAGGACGUUUUCAUUAA